ACAUACCUUCAGAACCUGGCACAUGUAUAACUCUUUCUCUGAACACCUCUCCUCCAUCACUUUGUAUGUUGUACUGUUGCAGUAGAACCUGGCGCAUUGUAUGAUGUACAAUAGGAGGUUUGUAAGCAAAUUAACACACAAUUAAAUGAGUGAUAGGAUAGUACCAUAUAGAACAUUCAAUCCUUAAAGUUAUACUCAAUAAACUGGAAGAGAAGCACAUCAUGUUACAUGUGUGUAGCCAAGUACAGUUGAAAGCGAACUUGAUAUAACUUUGUAAAGUUGAAAGCAUACAACUUCACAUAUUCAAUAAACUGGAAGAGAAAUGCAUGAUGCUCCAGGUGUAGCCAAGUACAGUUGAAAGAGAACUUGAUAUAAUUCUGUAAAGUUGAAAGUAUACAACUUCAUGCAAGGUAAAGCAAGCCAAAUCAGAGGGGAAAUGAGGGCAACAACAUGCACCUGGAGCAAGACAGCGCACAAUCUUGCUCUUUGAAAUAGAGAACAAUUUAUUAUCAACUAAAACAGGUCCAGCAGAUGAACAAUAAGAUAAAGGAGCUCAGAUGCAUCAAUAACUUACCUACGUUUAUGAAUCAAUUCUUAUGAAACAAACCAUGGUUUAUUCGUAGACCAAUGCAACAUAGAAAGAAUGAAAUAAAACUGAAUCAAGCUUACAUUCGGAAAAGUGGGCAUUAACUUGAGGGUUCCAAAGGAAAGACAAAACAAACACAUCACGCUUUCAUUUGCUAUAGACAUUAAAUGGCAGCCCAAGAUAACUUAAUGGUCUCAAUGUUUCAAAUAAAAGACUCACCUGUAUCAUUGCUCCAGGUACAUCAUUUGUCCAAUGAAGCCAAGAUAACUCAUUAUUAAAUCCUGAAAGCUUCAGAAACCAUGAGCCACAUCAAUAGAGGAGUAGACAAUGCAAGAUUGCAAUUUAUCUUGUCUCUUAUACUUUUUUAGAUUUGACAAUUAGCCACUCAAUCGUACAAUCUAUUGACCCAUACAGCAUAAGAAAGCAUACUACAAGUUGACAACUUAUCUCUUGGUGUAUAUAAAGUGGUGGGGCGAAAUACAUUAGCUUUGAAGGGAGCUGGAGGAAGUAUGUGGAUCCAGUGCAAUUUACUCUUCUCCACUUGUUCCAGUCACUUCUUUUCCAUCCCUCUCUCUAAAACACACAUACUAUACUCCUCUAAGCAGUCCUACUUAACAUUUUUACAAACAACUAGUGCUUGCAUCUGCAACCUCAAAGACAAAACAAGAGAGAGAGAAAGUGUGCGGGAGAGAGAGAGAGAGAGAGAGAGAGAUGGUUGGGACUCACAUGCGCACCUGGAGGUCGUGAAGACUCCUGAAGGAUGGCGCUAGGGUCUGCCGCGUCCG
rnacentral:lncRNA from 1 species